rnacentral:rRNA from 1 species
AACUGUGAGCGUGCGGGCGAUACGGGCAGACUUGAGUACUGCAGGGGAGACUGGAAUUCCUGGUGUAGCGGUGGAAUGCGCAGAUAUCAGGAGGAACACCGGUGGCGAAGGCGGGUCUCUGGGCAGUAACUGACGCUGAGGAGCGAAAGCGUGGGGAGCGAACAGGAUUAGAUACCCUGGUAGUCCACGCCGUAAACGGUGGGUACUAGGUGUGGGUUUCCUUCCUUGGGAUCCGUGCCGUAGCUAACGCAUUAAGUACCCCGCCUGGGGAGUACGGCCGCAAGGCUAAAACUCAAAGAAAUUGACGGGGGCCCGCACAAGCGGCGGAGCAUGUGGAUUAAUUCGAUGCAACGCGAAGAACCUUACCUGGGUUUGACAUGCACAGGACGCCGGCAGAGAUGUCGGUUCCCUUGUGGCCUGUGUGCAGGUGGUGCAUGGCUGUCGUCAGCUCGUGUCGUGAGAUGUUGGGUUAAGUCCCGCAACGAGCGCAACCCUUGUCUCAUGUUGCCAGCGGGUAAUGCCGGGGACUCGUGAGAGACUGCCGGGGUCAACUCGGAGGAAGGUGGGGAUGACGUCAAGUCAUCAUGCCCCUUAUGUCCAGGGCUUCACACAUGCUACAAUGGCCGGUACAAAGGGCUGCGAUGCCGCGAGGUUAAGCGAAUCCUUUUAAAGCCGGUCUCAGUUCGGAUCGGGGUCUGCAACUCGACC